ACGUAGGACGCAAGCGUUAUCCGGAGUUACUGGGCGUAAAGCGCGGGCAGGCGGUCGGUCAAGUCUGAUGUGAAAUCUCUCCGCUCAACGGGGAGCAGCCAUUGGAAACUGGGCGACUGGAGUCUGACAGAGGUAGGCGGAAUUCCGGGUGGAGAGGUGAAAUGCGUAGAGAUCCGGAGGAACACCAGAGGCGAAGGCGGCCUACUGGGUCAGUACUGACGCUGAGCCGCGAAAGCCAGGGGAGCGAACGGG
rnacentral:rRNA from 1 species